UGGGGAAUAUUGCACAAUGGGCGCAAGCCUGAUGCAGCCAUGCCGCGUGUGUGAAGAAGGCCUUCGGUUUGUAAAGCACUUUCAGCGGGGAGGAAGGCGUUAAGGUUAAUAACCUUGGCGAUUGACGUUACCCGCAGAAGAAGCACCGGCUAACUCCGUGCCAGCAGCCGCGGUAAUACGGAGGGUGCAAGCGUUAAUCGGAAUUACUGGGCGUAAAGCGCACGCAGGCGGUCUGUCAAGUCGGAUGUGAAAUCCCCGGGCUCAACCUGGGAACUGCAUUCGAAACUGGCAGGCUAGAGUCUUGUAGAGGGGGGUAGAAUUCCAGGUGUAGCGGUGAAAUACGUAGAGAUCUGGAGGAAUACCGGUGGCGAAGGCGGCCCCCUGGACAAAGACUGACGCUCAGGUGCGAAAGAGUGGGGAGCAAACAGG
rnacentral:rRNA from 1 species